UUCAUGGUUAUAAAUAUUAUAAUUCUGCAAAAGUGUAAGAGGAAAUAAAUUAGGGACACCAUUGUGAUAACAGCAGCAACAAGAGCGAAAGGACGACAGUUCCAAGUAUCAAAAAUAAACUAUUUUAAAAUUAUGUGCAAUCGAUACUUUUUGAGCACUUCUGCCUAACGGAGUUGAAGCAGAGUGUGGGAGAGCCGAUUGAGGACUACGUUUCCCGCCUUCGCUCCCAAGACAGAUUCAGUAAGCUUCUCUGUGCUAACUGUAAUAAAUCCUAUGAAGAUGAUGUCCUCGUUGGAACUAUUGUUAAGAAUACGUCCGCUCCCAAAGUGCGUCAGCUGGUAUUUGAAAAAAAAAGAUCUUCAAGCUAUAGGAAGUGAUCCAGCUGGUACGACCUUUACAGAAUGCAGAGACCCACUCCCCUCAGAUUAACUCAGAUAGAGCCGUUCUCAUGUCUGAGCAUAAAGGCUUCAAGGGGACACGUCGUCCCGAAAGUAUUAAUUCUCGUCAAGACCGGCCUCGGGGUAAUGUACAGCUUUUGAAGAAGCCCUAUAACUUUUGUGGGUAUUCACAUGUGCCCGCCUUGCAAGUUGUCAAUUGGCAAGAAGUGCCGUAAGUGCAAUGGCACUGAUCACUUUGGUUACUGCUGUAAGUCCGGGGUGAGCAGCACUGUUACGGGAUGUACAUACAUACCACGUCUCCCGUUCAGAAACCUCUCAAAGAGCUUAUGUGAACCUAAUCGUGAAUGAAGAGUUGCUUACCUUUUUAAUCGAUUUGGGUGACAAUGUGAACAUUCUCCCGGAGAGUAGAGUCCCUACGUCCUUAAGCUCUGAAGUCACUGGUAAUAUCACGGCAAAUGGAAUGAAUAAAAUUAGAACUUAUGGCCCUGUUGCCUUACCGAUUGUGAUGAAUGGGUCUUAUCAAGGACCAUUGGAAUUCCUUACUACAGAUGUGGACCAGCCAAUUUUGGGAUCUCAAGCUUACCUAGACCUGAAUUGGUCUCCUUACACUCGCCUAGUUUCCUGUGUGAUGCUGCUAAGGAAUGUAAUGGAAAAUGGAAUCCUAUAACCGCGAUUUUGAAGAAAUUUUUAUAGACUUCCCUGGUCAUAUUGCUAUGCACUCAAGGGCUGUGGUUCACGUUGAAAAUGAUGCUAAGGCGGCAAGGUUUAUAGGAGCACAUGUGGUACCCCUGGCUCUCCACAGUCACGUAAUUGAUGAGUUGCAAGCAAUGAAUAAGCGCGGAACUUUUACAAGGGUUGAUACAUCAGAAUGGGGAUCUCCGAUUGUAACCGUGCUCGAACAGAAUGGAAAGGUAUGUGUCUGUGCGAAUUUCACAUAUACCCUCACACAAAUUAUUAACAAGCAACUCUACCCUUUACCUCAUCCGGGAGAACUAUUUACCGGAAUGGUUGAAACUCAAAAUUUAUCUCUAAGUUGGAUUUUUGACAUUAUUAUGAACAAUACAAGUUUGAUGAAGGCUCCAAAGAACUCCUGACAGUUAAUACCCCUAUUGGGUUGUUGAAGUACAAUGUACUGACUUAAUGUCUACCUUCACCUCCAGCUAUAGUACAAUCAGUCCAAGAAUAACUAUUUGAUAACAUAACUAAUGUGAAAGUUUAUAUCGAUGAUCUUCUUGUUUAUUCAAAGACCCAAUCCGUGCAUUUAUGGACACUACGUAAAGUGUAUGAACGUAUCUGUGCUGUUUGUGCACGGCUCAAUCAGAGCAAAUAUGUUUUUGCAAGGCCUGAAUAAACCUACCUUGGAUUCAAGGUCUCGAAACAAGGCCGCUCACUGAACCCUGAGGUCAUUCGUCCAUUUAUUGAUUUUCCUGUCCCAACCUCUGCUGUAGAAGUCAGAUCAUUCUUGGAUCUAGUUCAAUUUUAUAGCUACUUCUUGAAUGACCUAUCUUCGAAUACGACUCCAUUAUAUGAGCUCCCAAAAGUAGUGUUGAAUUUUUGAGGUUCGUCUUGGUUGAGCUGAGUUUUAUUUCCAUCGAAAAUCUGUAUCAGAAUCCCCUGUCUUAUGCAUAACGCCCCUUCUCGUCAGCUAACUUUAACUAUGGAUGCAUCGCCGCUUGGACUUGGUGCUGUACCGUUCCAAUGGGACAAAGAUAAAGAACUUCCUGUCGCAUUUGCAUCCCGUAAGCUGUCUCAGGCUGAGAAAAAUUAUUCUCAGAUCGAUCGAGCUAUCAUGUUUGGCCUUACAAAGCUCAAGAGAUAUCUACUAGGUCGUCCUUUUACCAUCAAGACUGACCACAAGCCCUUGGAGUACAUCUUGAGUCCGAAGAAGCAACUCCCGCAAGUUGUCACUGCAAGACUAGCUCGUUUUGUUGUUAACUUAUCUAUGUUCAACUUCAAAAUCAAACACGUCAAAGGAUCGGAGCUCUCUCAUGCUGAUGCAUUCUCUCGUGGGACAUUUGAUGAGCCUCUGCCCAUCAACUGCGUCAAGCCACGAAUGCUGCAAAGUCUGGAGAUUGGUCCAAAGUCGAGUCUAGAGGCUAACUCAGGAAGAAGAAUUGUUUCUCUAUAAAGAAUGAGCUGCUGUGAUGGGAUAUUUGGCUGGUAGUACCCAAGUCUCUGCGAUAUAAGUUUUUGGAGGAACUGCACCUGACGCACCGUGGCAUUGUGAAAAGGAAGGCCAUAGCGCGGCAGAAAUUGUGGGGGCCCAGUAUCGAUGAAGACAUCAGCGGCUACGCCACAGCCUGCGAAACUUGUCAGGCUUGUGAGCGUAUUCAUGUCGAUUAUGCCAAAGUAAACGAUAAAGAUGUUCUGGUGCUGAUGGACUUGGGAUCCAAAUGGAUUGAGGCUGCAACUAUGUCAAGUACUUCCACUGAAGCGACAAUCAAGCAAUUAUUUUCGUGUUUCACAAGGUUUGGAUUUUCUCGAAUUGUCUACUCAGAUAAUUGACCUCAGUACAAUGAUUCAUGGUUCAAAUCAAAGUUGAACGAAUGUGGAGUAAAGCAUACACUCUCACCUUUAUAUCACCCUGAAUCGAAUGGUCAGGCAGAAAGAGCAGUUAGAAUUGUGAAGGACACGGUAAAAAAGAACCUCAAUAUCUCCCCAGAUGAACUGCUUUUGUCAUAUCGGUCUACACCGCUCAAUGGUAGGGGAACUCAGGCUAAACUUCUGUUAACUCGUCCAAUACGAACCUGCCUAGAUGGUUUUAUUACCUCCUAUGCUGAAACUGCAUCAAGCUUCCCUAUUGUAAAUGAUAAAGGCUACACCAAAGAAAUGAAGGUCUAGAGUAAAAGUUACCAUAAACGUGAGGACAAAUGUGUCCCGGGAACCAUAGUGAGCAAGAUUGGCGAACCAAUCUGGACCGUGAGAAUCCAGGACCAAGUCAAGACAAGACACAAUAACCAACUUUGCCACCAGCUCAAUUGAUUGGGGGUGAUGUCAUUUGUUUUAAUUAUAGUAUCAAGUAGGCUUACUUUACCAGUUUUAUAUAUCACAGUGUUUUAUAUCUUAAAAAUAGCUCUGUAUUUUAGUAGCUUGUGUGCCUCUCUUAACUGGACGUAUAAUUAAUAAACAGAAAAUGGCAACAUGUCUGAGAUAUGUGCCAGAGAAGAAUUUAA
rnacentral:lncRNA from 1 species